UAUUCCUACGGGGCGCAGCAGUGGGGAAUAUUGCACAAUGGGGGAAACCCUGAUGCAGCGACGCCGCGUGAGUGAAGAAGUAAUUCGUUACGUAAAGCUCUAUCAGCAGGGAAGAGAAUGACGGUACCUGAGUAAGAAGCCCCGGCUAACUACGUGCCAGCAGCCGCGGUAAUACGUAGGGGGCAAGCGUUAUCCGGAUUUACUGGGUGUAAAAGGAGCGUAGACGGCAGAGAAAGUCUGAAGAGAAAGCCCGC
rnacentral:rRNA from 1 species